AGAGUUUGAUCCUGGCUCAGAGUGAACGCUGGCGGCAGGCCUAACACAUGCAAGUCGAACGGCAGCACAGCAGUAGCAAUACUGUGGGUGGCGAGUGGCGGACGGGUGAGGAAUACAUCGGAAUCUACCUUGUCGUGGGGGAUAACGUAGGGAAACUUACGCUAAUACCGCAUACGAACUAUGGUUGAAAGCGGCGGACCGCAAGGCGUCGCGCGAUUGGAUGAGCCGAUGUCCGAUUAGCUAGUUGGCGGGGUAUAGGCCCACCAAGGCGACGAUCGGUAGCUGGUCUGAGAGGAUGAUCAGCCACACUGGAACUGAGACACGGUCCAGACUCCUACGGGAGGCAGCAGUGGGGAAUAUUGGACAAUGGGGGCAACCCUGAUCCAGCCAUGCCGCGUGUGUGAAGAAGGCCUUCGGGUUGUAAAGCACUUUUGUUGGGGAAGAAAAGCACUGGGCUAAUACCUUGGUGUCAUGACGGUACCCAAAGAAUAAGC
rnacentral:rRNA from 1 species